rnacentral:lncRNA from 1 species
UUUGCUUUACUUUUGCUGCUUCCCUGAAAGCUCUUGCAAUCAGCUAUGGGCCAGAGUGCAUCAUCUUCAACAAAGAAGACUGUCUCAGGGCUUCAUAGACAAAGACUACCAUGCCAGGUUCUCUCGGGAACAGGCUCUUGAUGGCAUGGCUUUAAGUUCUCCCAUCAAUUCUUCCAUCAAAAAGAUUCCUCCUUAUCAAUAGAAGAGAGAGAGAACACACUUUAUUAACAAAGCUGAAGAAAGAACAUUCUCUUAUCUCCUCGAGAAGCAAAGGGCUGUACCUCAUGACAGCCUCCCGUACUUCUCAUGAGAGACCCCUGAGCUAAUUCAGGAGCUGUUAACUCAAGAUCUAGCAGAUCAAGAAUUAACUACAUAGGACUGAAUGAAUUGCAGAGGGAUGACUGUGGUUUUUGUUUGAAAAAUUGUUGAUGUUGUUUCAGUGUUCUAUUUUCUGGAUCUACAAAGAAGCUCUCUCUCUUUCCUCUUAAGUGAUCCAUGUUAUGAUCCUACUCAUAAUAAUUUAGUAGAUUUCACUUUUGUAAACUGAAACCUUUGUAAAUAUCUUAUUGUCUAACAAUGUGCUCAGUUUAAUAUCUGCAUGAGAGUGAUGGUUCUACCUUUUUCUGAAAAUUAUCUUUGAACAAAUCUAUACAAAUUUCC